rnacentral:tmRNA from 1 species
GGGGCUGACAAAGCUUAGACAGGUCAUUAACAGGUGCGAAGCAUGUCGAUUAAAUACCGUAAGUAUUAAUAAGUGCUAAAAACACGAAAACUGCGCAUGUUAUGUACAUGCCAGCUUAUGCCUAAAAUUAACUAGGCUGGUUUAUGCCUAAUGUCUCGUAGGGUAUAAAUUAUUAUAUUACGAGGAUAAGGUUGGCUCGGUAGCGGGAGCUAACACUAAAACUAGCUACGGCAAUUCAUCGUUUUUUGUUUUUUAUUACCGAUGGAUACUUGCUAAGACAAAAUAAGAAACUAAGCAUGUAGAAUCGUGCCCAAGUGAUGAUUUGGACCCGGAGGCAGUAUCCGGCAGCUCCACCA